GAAAGCUGACUUAGCUGCCUUCACAACAGCAGUGAGAGGGAAAAUGUUGGCAGCCCUACAAUAAUGAAUAACACUGGCACUGGCAAACUUUCUUCUUUCAGGAAAUAAGGACUCCUGAGGCAGUGUAGGAUGUGGUACCCUGUGUGUGAUGCCCACCACUGUUGCCAUGGAGACUGUGCUGAACACAGACCUUCCGGCUGCCUGGGACCUCUGUCGUGUGGGGAAACCCGCAGGAUUUCUCUCCAAGUAAUGACUCCAUUUCCACGGCCUGGGAUGCCGCUUCCCAAAACCUGUGCAUGUCCUUUACCUGUUUUGUAAUCUCUGCUUAAGUAUAAAUGAUAAACAAGUGAAU